rnacentral:rRNA from 2 species
CGAGAAUUCGCUUUUCCUAGACCCGGCAUUUCUUUCUAGUUUCUGCUCCAGCAGUCCGAGCACAGUACGUGGGACAAAGAGUGGAAGUCGGAGCAAAAGUAUACCGCAACGAGAUA